UGGGGAAUUUUGGACAAUGGGCGAAAGCCUGAUCCAGCAAUGCCGCGUGUGUGAAGAAGGCCUUCGGGUUGUAAAGCGCUUUUGUCCGGAAAGAAAUCCUUGGCUCUAAUACAGUCGGGGGAUGACGGUACCGGAAGAAUAGGCACCGGCUAACUACGUGCCAGCAGCCGCGGUAAUACGUAGGGUGCAAGCGUUAAUCGGAAUUACUGGGCGUAAAGCGUGCGCAGGCGGUUUGCUAAGACCGAUGUGAAAUCCCCGGGCUCAACCUGGGAACUGCAUUGGUGACUGGCAGGCUAGAGUAUGGCAGAGGGGGGUAGAAUUCCACGUGUAGCAGUGAAAUGCGUAGAGAUGUGGAGGAAUACCGAUGGCGAAGGCAGCCCCCUGGGCCAAUACUGACGCUCAUGCACGAAAGCGUGGGGAGCAAACAGGAUUAGAUACCCUGGUAGUCCACGCCCUAAAACGAUGUCAACUAGUUGUUGGGGAUUCAUUUCCUUAGUAACGUAGCUAACGCGUGAAGUUGACCGCCUGGGGAGUACGGUCGCAAGAUUAAAACUUAAAGGAAUUGACGGGGUCAUAGCUGUUUCCU
rnacentral:rRNA from 1 species